rnacentral:lncRNA from 1 species
AUGGUGCGUUCCAGUGUUGUCACGGCAAUACGCAGCUCUUUCACACAACGCGUUCUCAGGUUUACAGACGAGAUCACCGUUAGUGAUCUACAUACCUCUCUGGACAGGGUUAAGACUAGGAGUGCUAGCACCAACUGUCUGAACCCAGAAAGGAACCAUAGUGUUCCUUCACCAGAUCCCCAAAGCUGCUCCCAGUCUCUACCCCGCAGACGCCCCGCCAGCCCCAGGAUUCUAAUCCAACACGCCUCCCCAGAAGACGACAGGUAUCCCUUCCCCACUGCUCCCACCCCAACCCCCCUGUUAGCAGCUGACCCCAACCCCAACCCUAACCCCCACACCUGUACUAAACCCAAAUGCAAACACUGAUAAUUAGCUAACUUCUAAACAUAAACGUACCACAAUCAAUCAUUUUUCUCUAUGGGACUAUGUACAGUGUCUUUUGGCAUAGUAUGGACUAGUUUCUUGUGUUUGUUCUUUAUAAUCCCUGUGGCUUGUAGUUUUUAUUCUAGAAUCUAACAGUCUGUAGGUUGUGUUCCACAAUCCAGAUUGUAUUCUAGCCUUCUAGAAGCCUCUAUCUUCUCCUUAUCUUCUCCUUUAGAAUCGCUGAGCUUUGAUAAGGAUUUCAGAUUUUUUUUUUUCAGGAUUUUUAUGUGUCUACUGCAUUGCCAACUGAGCUUUUAUCAUUGUCAAUAAUGUGUGUCUUUCAUAUUCAUAACAAAUUCAACAUAAUUCAGGAUUAAAGUUGAGUUUAUAUCUAUGUAAGUGGUGCGUGUGUGUGCGUGUGUGCGUGUGUGCUUUUGUGUGUGUCUGUGUGUCUGUGUUUCUCAUCAUGUCAUCUCAUCACCUUCGUGUUUGUGGUGUGUAUGAAGCAAAUGGAUGAUGGAACCUCUAGUACCUAGACAGGAGACAGUUAACCACCUCAGUGCAAAGAAGAGGUACACACACACACACACACACAUUACUUGUACAAUGAAUACGUGUGUGACUCUUCUUUAUGAUCAUUGUUCCGUACUCCAUAUUCCAUUGAUGUGUAUUGAGAACUUAAUCAAAUCAAUCGCCUAACUGGCUUGUCUUCUGGUAGAGCAUAGGGCUAGACGUUUCAUGACGAAUAGAAAAUCAGACUUCUCUCACUUACCCCAGCUGUUUACCCCUGUCCCAUACUCUCUCCGUUUAUUUAUUCAUCCCUUCAUCCGUUUCUUUCUGUUUUCCACUCAUCUCCCAUCUCCCAGGCAAACUCGGAGCCUGGACUCAUCCACCUGUCACACUCUGGGCAAGAAGCUCCCUGACAACGACAGGUAAGGGGGCCAACCAUAACAUAUACCCUGAUUUUUGUUUAUCAACAUCAUCACUUCCGGCCCAAUCCUCAAACUUUCAUAAAAUCUCCCAUUCACAUCAGCACAGAAUUGAAAUUAAAGUUUGAGUCGAGCAUGUGAAUCUCAUUGCGAGAUUCAUCCUGCCAUCAUAGUCUGUCCCCUCCCACAAAUUCCCAGUCUAGGAUGAAGUUCACUUUAGACACUGAUCUAAGAUCAGUUUUCCCCCACAAUAAUUGAGGUUAGGAUUUGUUUGGGGUAAACUGAUCCUAAAUCUGCACCUAUAUGGUGACUUUUACCUCUAGUGGGGAUCCCCCUAUUUGCUGUCCACCAGUUCAUCCACAUUACCACAAUUUUAAACGCUGAUUUCAGAAUAAUCUAUCAGAUUAAGUCACGUACACAUGUACUGUACUGGGCUGCAGUGCAGUACAGCGGUUAGCAUGGGGAUGCUAACAUAAUCAUGAAAGCAUGGGUCAGGAUUCGCUGAGAUGGAGGCAAGAUGAGCUUGCGUUUGUAAUUGGCAGUUCAGUAUCAAGGUGGGGUCUUUCCUAAUAUGGAAUCGGGUAGUUUGACCUGCACCUUUAACAAUGUUUUCUUCUGAGAUGUCUCUCACACUGUGUAUGCUGAUUUCAAUAUGUUUGACAAAGCUCCUUCUUUUCUUUUCAUCAUUUUUCCUUUUUUUCCUCUUUUCCUCUAUUCUGUUAUUUUCUUAAAUUUUUGCAUGCUGCGACUUUGUGCACACGGUGUGUAUGGUGUGUGUGUUGGGGCCCCCAGAAUGAAGCCCACCUCCAUCCUGAGGGGGUCCCGAGGACGGCCCCCUCCCCUGCGGCCUCUCGGUAAGGGGACCCUCCGAGAGUUGGCCCCGGGCUCACCCCAUCCAUACAGGUGCUGACCUCUGACCUCUCACCUCAGUCCCCUUGGAGGAGCGGCCUGAGAGAGAAAGAGCUGUUGCCUUCCUCCUCCAUAAUUCCACUGCCUAUAAUGCACUAUUUAUUUGAUUUUGUACCCCAGCCAUGGGCCUGUGUGUGUGUGUGUGUGUGUGUGUGUGUGUGUGUGUGUGUGGGUGUGGGUGUGUGGUGUGUGUGUGUGUGUGUGUGUGUGUGUGUGUGUCGUUUGCGUGUGUGGUUGUGCGUUGUGUGUGAUGUGUUUGUGUGUAAGUGUACACUGAGGUACAAAACAUAUAAGAACAUAACAUAGACUGACAAGAUGAAUCCAGGUGAAAGCUGUGAUCUUA